ensembl:snRNA U6 U6 spliceosomal RNA
AUGCACACUUUGACAGCAUAUACACUAAAAGUGGAAUGAUACAGAAACGAUUAGCAUGGCCGCUGUACAAGGUUGACAUGCAAAUUUGUGAGGUGUUCAUGUUUUUU